GGAACAGAGAGUACAAUACAGCUCUGUGGUGUUGGCUUUCCAAGUGCGUCCUGCUCCUGUGCUGCUUGUUUACAGUCCGUGCAUGCCUUUAAGGGAUCAAACCGUAGGAGUUGCAAAGUUUUUGUGUACGCCACAUGACUCAGACUUCACGCCCGUCAGAGAUUUGGACGUUUCCACCUGUUCCGGCUUGUUUUACGGCUCCUCCCGUCCAUUGAAAUACACUCAUAGAAGAUUUAAGGAUGGGAUACGUCUCGGCGGAGAGUGCAGAGAUGUUUUUUAAUCUUUUCUUCAUCACUGAAUAGUCAGAUCCCUCCGCUCUGAAGCACGUGCGAUUCUUUCCCAAGGUUAGGGAGCAAAGUCCAUUCGGGGGGGGGGGAGUCAAACUGUCACUGGUGCU
ensembl:lncRNA